GCCCGGGUAGCUCAGUUGGUAGAGCGUGCGGCUUUUAAGUGGAAAAGUUCCUCUUGAAUGGCCACCGCAAGGCCCUGGGUUCGAGCCCCAGCUCGGGCG